rnacentral:rRNA from 1 species
AGAACCUACGGGAGGCAGCAGUGGGGGAUAUUGCACAAUGGGGGAAACCCUGAUGCAGCGACGCCGCGUGAGUGAAGAAGUAUUUCGGUACGUAAAGCUCUAUCAGCAGGGAAGAAUAAUGACGGUACCUGACUAAGAAGCCCCGGCUAGCUACGUGCCAGCAGCCGCGGUAAUACGUAGGGGGCAAGCGUUAUCCGGAUUUGCUGGGUGUAAAGGGAGCGUAGACGGCUGUGCAAGUCUGAAGUGAAAUGCCGGGGCCCAACCCCGGCACUGCUUUGGAAACUG